CCUACGGGAGGCAGCAGUAGGGAAUCUUCCACAAUGGGCGAAAGCCUGAUGGAGCAACGCCGCGUGGGUGAAGAAGGUCUUCGGAUCGUAAAACCCUGUUGUUAGAGAAGAAAGUGCGUGAGAGUAACUGUUCACGUUUCGACGGUAUCUAACCAGAAAGCCACGGCUAACUACGUGCCAGCAGCCGCGGUAAUACGUAGGUGGCAAGCGUUAUCCGGAUUUAUUGGGCGUAAAGGGAACGCAGGCGGUCUUUUAAGUCUGAUGUGAAAGCCUUCGGCUUAACCGGAGUAGUGCAUUGGAAGCUGGGAGACUUGAGUGCAGAAGAGGAGAGUGGAACUCCAUGUGUAGCGGUGAAAUGCGCAGAUAGAUGGAAGAACACCAGUGGCGAAGGCGGCUUUCUGGUCUGUAACUGACGCUGAGGUUCGAAAGCGUGGGUAGCAAACAGGAUUAGAUACCCUAGUAGUC
rnacentral:rRNA from 1 species